rnacentral:SRP_RNA from 2 species
GCCAGGCAUGGUGGUGCACACCUGUAAUCCCAGCUACUCGGGAGGCUGAGGCAGAAGAAUCGCUUGAGCCUAGGAGGCAGAGGUUGCAGUGAGCCGAGAUUGCACCACUGCACUCCAGCCUGGGCAAGAAAGCGAGACUCUGUCUCAA